AUUGAACGCUGGCGGCAGGCCUAACACAUGCAAGUCGAGCGGUAGAGAGGUGCUUGCACCUCUUGAGAGCGGCGGACGGGUGAGUAAUGCCUAGGAAUCUGCCUGGUAGUGGGGGAUAACGCUCGGAAACGGACGCUAAUACCGCAUACGUCCUACGGGAGAAAGAAGGGGACCUUCGGGCCUUGCGGUAGCAGAUGAGCCUAGGUCGGAUUAGCUAGUUUGUGAGUUAAUGGCUCACCAAGGCGACGAUCCGUAACUGGUCUGAGAGGAUGAUCAGUCACACUGGAACUGAGACACGGUCCAGACUCCUACGGGAGGCAGCAGUGGGGAAUAUUGGACAAUGGGCGAAAGCCUGAUCCAGCCAUGCCGCGUGUGUGAAGAAGGUCUUCGGAUUGUAAAGCACUUUAAGUUGAGAGGAAGGGUCGUUACCUAAUACGUGACGAUUUUGACGUUACCGACAGAAUAAGCACCGGCUAACUCUGUGCCAGCAGCCGCGGUAACAC
rnacentral:rRNA from 1 species